rnacentral:lncRNA from 1 species
GCAGGACAGAGUGGGCCGUGAGUGUCCCGCACACACUGUAGAAGCCAGUGUUGGGCACCCGUGGCCCUGCUGAGCAGGGCCCUGUGAGGGCUGGACCCCACCCACCGUGGCACCCUGGCUGCCUGCCUGAAGAGGAGGGUGGACUCUGCCCAAUGAGAGCCUCUCUGUGUGUAGAGCCAGGGCCAUCUUGACCCCCCUGCUGUUGGAGCCAACGCUCCUGGGGCACUCUUGACAGAGCUCAGCUCAAAUGCCCUUUCUCAGGCCACACUGACCAGUGCCUCCCCAAGCAGAGAGUGAGCUCCCGGGAGUCAGGGCUGCACCUGGCCCAGGGCUGGCACAAAGAGUGUACCUGGUCCAGGGCUGGCACACCACAGGUGUGAUGGAUGACAGACUGAAGGAUGAGGGGUCAAAUCAAAGGCAAGAAUUAAAGCUCGAAAUUCUUGAAUGAACUUAGUGGGAUCCUGGCUAAAUGAACCCAGUGUGGAUUCGAGAAAGAUCAGACAUUGGAAAAGGGACAUGAACUUGAAUUGUUCCCAAAUCUCCAUUUGCCACCUUGUGGAGAGGGCUUCAGGAUCCCACUGAAGAGUGGUCUUGGACAGAGCCCUCAGUUUCCGAGUAAAGAACCAGACCAUCAAGGGAAGCAGGGAGGGAAAAGAAGGGAGAAAUCCCAGUAAAGUCCUGUACGCACAACCGAGGUGCCUGGCGAGGUGUCGGAGCCCCAGCCUCGGGAAGGGGCCGACUCGAGGGCUGGUAACCAGGAGAAGCUGUUGCAACCACCAAGGGAGGGUGUUUCCUCAGGCCGAGAGCUUAUUGGGAGCUUCGGAGCUACGAACCACAGCAAGCUGCAGGGCAGGCAACUGACCUUUGUCACCCAGGAGUCCAGGGGAUAAGGGCCACCUGGCCACGUGGCCAGGCCGUUCCAGCCAAGGCCAGCAGCAGCAGUGCCCUGGGAGUGGCCUCUCGCAGCUGUGAAACGGGAGCUGAGGGCACCACCUGCUCAGCUCAGCCGCCUUUCUGGGCCCUGGGGUGGGCCUGGGCUGGCAGGAUGGGGCGUGAAGUCCGGGUCAGGACCCGGGACUGGCCUGCCUUGCCCUCCUGGGCAGGACUGACCUGGGGUUGUCUUAGUUCCCCAGAUGAAGUCACCAGCGGAACCAGCCGGCCUGCUACCUGACACACAAGGCCAGGAACUGAGUAUCUUUUAAAAGUUUAACUUGUUUUGUUAUA